rnacentral:rRNA from 1 species
UCGAUGUAGAGACAGUGUGUGAUCCGUUUAGUAAGUAGCGCUUCAAGUCUGUCCCUGAAACGUCGUCCUUUUGGUGUUGACUACGUUAAGAAAAUAAAUAUAACGUCAAUGUAAAAUGAUUGGAUUCGAAGUAAGUAUAUGGUUCCUUUCGACAAUAACCCUCUCGUCGUCUUAAGAAGGCCUAAAAGAAUAACGACUAAAACAUUUACGUCAAGUCUAAGAACAUGUUACACACACAUAAAGAGGGAGUAAGUUGAGUUAAAAAAGAAAACAAUAAUAUCUUCUCCAGGAUCCUACGUCGAACAUAGCUUUCGAUAUUAUUGUUAAGUUGACUAAACAGUAUGUGACCUCACUAGAUAUUACGGUAACAUAGUCGGAAAGUACUAAGGUAGGUAACUUAAAUGUUGAUUUACGCAUCGUUGCUGACAUGAUAUGAUUUGGACACUUAAUUCUAGGUUUUUGUAGUUACUUUGUACCUCUACAAGCCCACAUAGUCUAAGGCAAAGGGAAAACACCACCCAUUCUAACCUCGUUCGAGUGUAGUGGACCGCGAGCCGGCGCAGGCGCUGCUACCCGUCCGCGCCGCACUAGGGCUCGUCCGUCCGCGGGGGCGGCAUCUGCUCCCUCUGCUCGUCCUUCUCCUUCUGCCACAAGAGGUCCGACCACUUCUACAGCUCGGGCUACGGCGGCGGGCUCCCGCGCUUCCUGACGCGCUCCUCCAGGCCCUGCUACUCGUCCUGCAGCUCGCGCUGCCGGACGUACCGCAACUUCGCCUGCUUCGCCCUCUUCCGGACGACCAACGCCUGCUGCCGCUUCAUCUCCCACUACUUCUCCUCCUUCCCGCACUCGCCGCUCCUCACCUUCUCCGCGCGCCGCCCCGGCUCGCCCGACUCGUGCCGCAACUUCUGGCCCAUGACGCGCUGCUCCUUCGCCGGCACCACGCGCGGCAGCUCCUUGCCCAUCUCCAUCCGCUGCCGGCGGUGGUCCGCCAGGCCGCGGGGGUGGCGCAGCGACAACAGCAACAACCGCGCGCCGCCGCCCCGCUCCUCCGGCACCCCCGCCGCCCCCUCCUCGCGCCGCCGGCUUCUCCCCGGCUCCUCCCCCUCCGCGCGCGCCCGGCGCCCCCCCGACUCCUCCCUGCCCCGGCGCGCCACCUCGCCCGCGCCCCUGCUCUCCUCCUCGCUCUGCCGCCUCCGGUACCGCGCGCCCGCCCCCUACCGACCCCUAAAGACUCCCCGCACACACUCCCUACGCCGCCACCGCCUUCCCGCAAACCGAACCGCCGCCGCCGACGAACGGAGGCCCGCUCGCCCAAACCCCUGACCCUCGCCUCUAAAAACACCUCAAAACCCCCUACACCGGCUCACCCCCUGCUCCUCUAACCAACCACGACGACGGCACCACCCUUCCUUCCCUUGCCUCCGGCCGGUGGCCGCACU